rnacentral:lncRNA from 1 species
CAUUGCACAGGUUCGCACUUAAGUAUCUCUGGUGAGAUGCCCCACGGACAGCUUUACGCAGCACACUAGGAGGUGGGCUUCUUGAAGAUCCAUUACCAUGGCUUACUCGCAGAGUCCUUUCAGCAAAAACAUGGAAACUGCAGGAAUUAUCUAAAAUCGUCCAGUUAUCAUAAUCACAGGGGAAAUACGGCUGAAUUCCAGGAUCUGAGAACACUCCUGUUUGCAGGCAAUGUUCUCCCCGGAAGGGCCAUAAGAGGAAUGGGCAGAACAUCCUGUUUGCAAGCCAGCUCAGCCGCAACUCAGCUCCAUGAAAUGUCCUGUAUGCAAGCACAUUCAUGUUCUUAGGCCAGAUCUCCUUCAAUGUUAUAUGUCUAUUAUAUCAAAAUUUUAAAUAAACGAAUCCAAGUGUAUACUUUAAAUAUGUGCUGUGUUCUAUAUCAAUACAGAUGUUAUUA